rnacentral:misc_RNA from 1 species
UUGGUUUGAUACGGGUGGUCGGCUCCCUGCUUGAGCAGGCACGGCCACGCGUGCAUUCCUUUUCAGAUGUGCGGCAAGGCUUGUAUCGUCUUGAUCGUAUAAGUGGGUUUCCUGUGUUGCAUACCUGAUCAACGGCAUCGUUUCGAUCAAAAGCRUACCUUUUUCGUCUAGUGUUGCACCCGCACCAUUGGAUGAACCGUGUAGCAUUCUCUUUGAUCCAUACAWUUGACAUUCAUUGUUAGUUGUUUGGCCCAUUGAGCGUGUCUUGGUCCCUUGAAUAUGGAAGCCAAAGUGGGCACGGGAUCGCAAGAUCCGUUUAGUGCCCUAAUUGAGCGUUUUCGCUUCUCUUACACGACUGCCUCUCACGUAUGGCACGUCCCAGCGUGUUUGGCUAUGUCGAAGAGGAAUGU